UACGUAGGGGGCAAGCGUUGUCCGGAAUUAUUGGGCGUAAAGCGCGUGUAGGCGGCUCGAUAAGUCUGCUGUGAAAGUCCAGGGCUCAACCCUGGAACGCCGGUGGAUACUGUCGAGCUCGAGUCCGGAAGAGGCGAGUGGAAUUCCUGGUGUAGCGGUGAAAUGCGCAGAUAUCAGGAGGAACACCAAUGGCGAAGGCAGCUCGCUGGGACGGUACUGACGCUGAGACGCGAAAGCGUGGGGAGCAAACAGG
rnacentral:rRNA from 1 species